GCCUCUCGCGUCAGGAUAUGCCUAGGUGGGAUUAGCUAGUUGGUGAGGUAAGGGCUCACCAAGGCGACGAUCCCUAGCUGGUCUGAGAGGAUGAUCAGCCACACUGGAACUGAGACACGGUCCAGACUCCUACGGGAGGCAGCAGUGGGGAAUAUUGCACAAUGGGCGCAAGCCUGAUGCAGCCAUGCCGCGUGUGUGAAGAAGGCCUUCGGGUUGUAAAGCACUUUCAGUCGUGAGGAAGGUAGUGUAGUUAAUAGCUGCAUUAUUUGACGUUAGCGACAGAAGAAGCACCGGCUAACUCCGUGCCAGCAGCCGCGGUAAUACGGAGGGUGCGAGCGUUAAUCGGAAUUACUGGGCGUAAAGCGCAUGCAGGUGGUUUGUUAAGUCAGAUGUGAAAGCCCGGGGCUCAACCUCGGAAUUGCAUUUGAAACUGGCAGACUAGAGUACUGUAGAGGGGGGUAGAAUUUCAGGUGUAGCGGUGAAAUGCGUAGAGAUCUGAAGGAAUACCGGUGGCGAAGGCGGCCCCCUGGACAGAUACUGACACUCAGAUGCGAAAGCGUGGGGAGCAAACAGGAUUAGAUACCCUGGUAGUCCACGCCGUAAACGAUGUCUACUUGGAGGUUGUGGCCUUGAGCCGUGGCUUUCGGAGCUAACGCGUUAAGUAGACCGCCUGGGGAGUACGGUCGCAAGAUUAAAACUCAAAUGAAUUGACGGGGGCCCGCACAAGCGGUGGAGCAUGUGGUUUAAUUCGAUGCAACGCGAAGAACCUUACCUACUCUUGACAUCCAGAGAACUUUCCAGAGAUGGAUUGGUGCCUUCGGGAACUCUGAGACAGGUGCUGCAUGGCUGUCGUCAGCUCGUGUUGUGAAAUGUUGGGUUAAGUCCCGCAACGAGCGCAACCCUUAUCCUUGUUUGCCAGCGAGUAAUGUCGGGAACUCCAGGGAGACUGCCGGUGAUAAACCGGAGGAAGGUGGGGACGACGUCAAGUCAUCAUGGCCCUUACGAGUAGGGCUACACACGUGCUACAAUGGCGCAUACAGAGGGCGGCCAACUUGCGAAAGUGAGCGAAUCCCAAAAAGUGCGUCGUAGUCCGGAUUGGAGUCUGCAACUCGACUCCAUGAAGUCGGAAUCGCUAGUAAUCGUGGAUCAGAAUGCCACGGUGAAUACGUUCCCGGGCCUUGUACACACCGCCCGUCACACCAUGGGGAGUGGGCUGCAAAAGAAGUAGGUAGUUUAACCUUCGGGGGGACGCUUACCACUUUGUGGUUCAUGACUGGGGUGAAGUCGUA
rnacentral:rRNA from 1 species